rnacentral:lncRNA from 1 species
ACCUUUUACUAGCUAAAAUUUACCAUUUUUACUGUCGUCAUAUUUUUCGCCUACGAAUAAUUCCCCGAAAUUAAUCGUCCCUCAAAACACCUCUAGGGACCGAUUAAACUAUUAUCUCAAUGACGGAGACGGUAAAAUUCUUAUUAUAACCAAGCUAGUAAAUAAGGUAAAAAUUUAAGAGUCGGGAUGUGACAAUUCUCCCCUCCUUAUAAAAAUUUCGUCCUCGAAAUUUACAUACCUGACAAAUCAAAGAGAUAAGGAUACUACUGCCUCAUUUGCUCCUUUGAUUCCCAAGUAGCUUCUUCUACUUGGUGACUCCUCCACAGAAUUUAACAAGAGGAAAAGAUUUGCUUCUAAGCAGUUGCUCCCUCUGGUCUAAAAACUGAACUGGAUCCUCAUCAAAGGUCAAAUCUUUCUACAAAAUAAUCGGCUGCUCUUGCAACCCAUGAGAGGAAUCGGCAAUAUACUUGUGAAACAUGAAUACAUGGAACACAUUAUGUAUCCUGGAUAAUUCUGGAGGCAAAACUAACUGAAACGCAAGAGAGCCAACUUGAUCUAAAAACCCGUAAGGACUAAUAAAUCUUGGACCAAGCUUUGCACGUUACUAAAACGUACCACCCCUUUCCAAGGAGACAAUUUCGAAAACACCCAAAAUACUCACUUGAAACUCAUGGUCCUUCAUGCGAACAUCUUUAUAAAUCUACUGGCUACUAAGAGCUGCUUUAAGUCUACCUCAAACUCCUUUAACCUUUUCAUUUAAAUCCUGAAUUAUUUUAAAUCUUCUCAAAGACUCUAAAUCCUUCAUUGAACUGCCACUAACGUUUACACGUAAGUGAGUUCAGUGAUACCUAUUCCAGAGUACGAGUACCCGUAGGUAUGCACACUCUUUCCUGAGCAAUGGAAAUAGUUAACCCAAAUAAAGCGCAUAAAUUUUCUAUCACCAUCGGGCUCAAAUCUCCUAACGUCACGCGACAACCUCGUCAAUACGCUGCUCACAGCUCGACAAUGAAACCCACUUGCUAGGAAACUAAAGUUCACACAUUCCCACAUGCUCAUAGGGGUCAAAAUUAAGACCCGUUAAGUUAAGUGAACAGACUUUUAAGGAUGCACACACUGCAGAACUGCAACAAUCACUCCUACUACCGAGACACCUCGCAGAGUCUUUCGCGGAGCCAAAGCUCUCGCAAGUCCACAAGAUAACCUUGCUCUGCCUAAAUGACCAGUCCACCAACAAAUGAUAACUUCGAUUUUCGAGAUAACAUUAUGAAAAGAUCAAUAGCACGUCACUUAGGUCUCUCCACCAAAAUUAUUACAUUACCAUUUUAUGCACCACCAGACUAGCAGCUUAUGGGAAUUCCAACUCUCCUGAUUCUACUAUCUCCACUAUUCUCUUUACCACAAACCAGAAGAUAAUCGGAAUCAUGACUAUCAUGUGGAAACUAGGAAUUCCUCCAUGCUCGCCAUAAACAAAACUGACUAAUAAUGCCCACGAAAAAUUGGCACAGUCAAUUCAUGAUGAUAAACUUGACGUUGAAAUCCACAUAAAUAGAACACCUCCUUACCUCUAACAACAAUAAAUCUGAUAGCAGAAAACAAUCUGAAAAUCAGAUAUGCUCAAGUCUCCUACACAUCCCAGGCCACGACUUCCCACCAAAAAGAUUCUUCGAAAACUGAGCUUGCAAUAACUUAUGCGACUAACAAAAGCAAAGACAAAUUUUUAUACAAGACCCACUACUACACCUUGUGGUUCACCAACUAACGAAAACCAUGAAUUCAAGCAAGAAUCAAAACUCAUGGCUUAACUCAACUCAAGCUCCAAAAGAAAUAAUUUAAAGCACACGAAAAGCAAGUCCUCUAACUUCGAGCUCAAAAGCUCCACAGAUCUCCGAUAUUCGCCAGAACCCGCUUCGAAAUCGCACUAGAAACCUCCACUAAUCAUCCUAACACCAACAGAUAAACGCACAACCAAAAAGCAAAGACCUCCCAAACAAAAACUUGGAUCAAUGAGUGGUCCCACCACAAAACGAUCCUGAGAAGAGACGUUGAUCAACCUAUCAAUAAAUCUACUAUUCGCCAUAAUAAUCUCUUAAUAAACCUUGACUCGAAAAACUUCUUGAGUCAACAGGGGAAAACCUUCUCCCAUAAUGCUACAUCAUGAAAUAUACCUACAACGACACAAACCAUCAAAUCAACAUCACCAUGCAACUCUUAAACUACCACAUAGGAUUUACGGCACCAAGACUCAUCGCUUAAAUGAACUCCAGCUCACUUGGGAUCACCACUGGAUUUAUUCCGGAACCAUGACUACGACACAACUACCAAAUAUCAUUUACCUCGAAACUUCGACAAAAUAACCAGAAUUUCUACCCUUCAAAUCGAAGCGUUGAAUCCGCAUUCCAAAAUUUCAAGCUCUGAGGAUACUACCUAAAAACUACAGUAGGAAUAAUUUAAAUAUUCCCACACACACCACAACCAAAACUUUACUCCAUCUCACCGAAUUAGAAAUAAGGUGAGAACAGAUUUGCCGCCUGUAGUCACCCAUUGUGAACGAAAUGAUGUCAAAACCAACUUCGAUCACAAAUUUGAGACUUACAUCAUCCACCCGGAAUGACAUUGCUUAAAAAAUACUUUGGACACCCACGCACUCUUGCUUUAUGAUCUAGUGGGUUCUAUUCUACCGCUGCCACUUCCACCAAUUUCAUGCAUCUACCUUAGAAUUUAUAAAACAAAAACUCAUGACAACACCUAUUUAAAAUUUCACCAUGUGUUGUCGUAAAACUGGAGUGACCACAACCAUCCCGCUCUCACUCCACCAUUACUUUUCGAUUCCAUUACAUUAUCAUCUUCCCAAACACUCAACAAAUUUGGAAACCAAACUUCAACACCUGGAAUUCCAAAAGAAUCCAUACUGGCCCCACGAUUAAAAUAAUAUAACCGACAACUCACUCCAUAAUUCCAAACUUGCUUGAAACUCAACAUUUAAUGCCAUCAAUAAAAUUAUAAAAUUCCCCAACUGUGGCACAACAAGAAGUUGUCACAACGCACUGACGAAUGACUUUUGUAAAACCAACAAUCCAAGUCAUUCUACUUAGUGUUUUAACAAACUUCAACUAACCCACAAUAGAGACCAAAAUCAUCAGAAAACUUACUAUUCAUCGACUACUAACAUCCAUCAUUUUCAAAAUAUAUUACCACUACCAUCUAGAUAAAAUGCUCUAAGGAUAGAAACAUAUCCAUAAUUAGCACUGCAGAAACCAGAACAUAUACCGCCAUAACCAAAAUUAUCCCAACAUGUUCCCAAUUGAUUUAUGUUGCAGAUAAAAUUGUCGGCAAAAUGGCUUUCAAUCAAGACUUAUCUAAAUUGACAUUUAGCUCUUUAUGCAGCAAUACCUUACCAUCCAAUCACUAGCCACAAAUUUCCUAAAACCUUGAUUAACCCAAGACUAGGGUCCUCAACAACUCAUAUAGGUACCCCUUUGAAUUACCAUUGGAUACCUCACCUCAUCAUUUCAACUAACUUUUUCAUCAAUAGAAUACACCACUACUUCGAACUUUCCUUCCAACUCAACUCUCUCAAAAGUCACGUAACUCAAUACGAAAAUCUCCCAUCUAUCAAUUUUGACUCCAAUCUUGCCCACAAAAAAAUGGACAACUCCAAGGCAUUAAUCAUCAACAUUUCACCCAACAGAUUUGCACAAGAUGCUCACCUUAGCAUCUUAAUCUGAAACCCUAAUCUUAAUUAACCCAAUCAAUCAUUGGAUACCUGAAAGGAAUGCUAACAAGCUUUUUCGUUCCCCACUCGCAAAACAACUCCAACAAUUAAUAUCAAAAAUAUUAAAUUAAUGAACCUUGGAAUAGGUGCAAACUAUACACCUUUUCAAAACUCGAAGGAUGAACACUCAAGAGGUCGGCGUACGGAGGCAUAGUCUUAGAGAUGUAGACAUUUAUGGCACACUACUGUCCAUAAAUAAAAGAAGAACAACUACAUCACAAACCUAAUCAACACAUAGUGUCUAAAGCAUAUAAUGCUAAUAGAUCCGCCGCGGUCGGACCAUCACUCUAUAGACACUAAGCAUGACCAAGAAUAUGAGAUAGUACUAAAAAGAGAAAGGAAACGAAUAACCUAGUGCUCUGAUACCAACUGACACGACCCACCCCAAAUUUCACCCUGAAACCCAGAAUAAGUCGUGCGGGGACCACCUCCAAGGAAAAUUUACCGAAAAAUCGGCAUAACCUCCCUUGAAAAUGGACAACCCUUCCUAAUAAUACCUGCAAACACUUCUGAAAAUUUAAAUCCAACCUUAAACUCCUGGAGUCUCCGUGCUCCCCAAAACACAACACCACCCAAAUUAUUUACUAAUCUAAACAAAUCUCAUAUCCAACCAUUAUUAGGUUCAGGGCAACUCUAACAGGAAAAAAAGGAAACAUAAUAAAUUAACAAACGGAAGCUAUAUGAUGACUAUGUCUCAUCCCCAUGUACGCCCGAC